rnacentral:lncRNA from 1 species
AAAAAAUUUAAAGCAAGUUAAAAAAAAUAACCUGAUCUCUUCACUCUCUUAUCUCUAUCUCUUACAUCAGCCCUUAGAUAUCUCUCAUCUCUCUCUGCCCUAAGAUAUCUCUUCAUUAUCUAAUCUCUAUCACUUAUAUAUCCACUCUCAUCAGCUCUUAGGUAUCUCUCAUCUCUAAGUCCCUAACCCAAAAGCUAACCUCCUGAACAUCCGACCAUCCGCAAUUCCAAAAUCAACUGUCUAUGUAUUACCACCAGCAACCACCACCUCAGGCUGCCGCGCCUCCUCAACAGUAGCAACCCAGCCAGCUAGCUCCGGCGAGAUCCGCACACUUUGGAGUUUGGAUCGGAGAUCUUCAGUUUUGGAUGGAUAAGAAUUUUCUUUUGGGUUAUUUCACUCAAUCUGGUCAUCUUUUCAUUUCAUUUCUUUUUUUAUUUCCCAUUUUUUUUGGGUAAUACACAUGUAGUUUGGACUUUUGGUGACUGGUGUGCUUGUUUUUCUUGUGAUUUAUGUACUAAAACAGAAAUUUUUUGGUUAUCAAAUUACCUUAUUAUUGGAAAAAGUAAAAAAGUAAAAGAAACAGAAAUUUGGAUCCCCUUCUUUAGAUUUUGGAAACUCUGCAAGUAUAAAUUCUAUCCCUCUGAAGGUGUAAAAAUGUGUACUGUCUCAAUUUCGGUUAUUAACCAAAACCCGAAUUAUAAAUUUGGUUUUCGGUAUUUCGGUUAUUGCUAAAUUCGGUUAGUUGUUGGAAUAGUAAAAUUAAGAAUAUUUCGCUAUUCAGUUAUAUCCGAAUAAUCUAUUCGGUUCAGUUUAUUCGAAAUGCUCACCCUCUGUAUGUGCCCCCUACCCUAGCCUUGAGUCCGUCCUUGCUCACAUAAAGGUGAAAUCUACUCACUAUUUAAGCCUUGAGUCCGUCCUUGCUCACAUAAAGGUGAAAUCUACUCACUAUUUAUAUAACAGAGAUUAUGUAGAAAUAUCAGUUCUCUAUGUCUUCAAUGGAUAACUAAUGUUAUGAAUCAUCUCACAUUCAG